rnacentral:rRNA from 1 species
GCGGCCGUACUAUACGGUCCUAAGGUAGCGAAAUUCCUUGUCGGUUAAAUACCGACCUGCAUGAAUGGCGUAACGAGAUGGGAGCUGUCUCAAAGAGGGAUCCAGUGAAAUUGUAGUGGAGGUGAAAAUUCCUCCUACCCGCGGCAAGACGGAGAGACCCCGUGGACCUUUACUACAGCUUGACACUGCUAUUUGGAUAAGAAUGUGCAGGAUAGGUGGGAGGCUUUGAGUAUAUGACGCCAGUUGUAUAUGAGCCAUUGUUGAGAUACCACUCUUUCUUAUUUGGGUAGCUAACCAGCUUGAGUUAUCCUCAAGUGGGACAAUGUCUGGUGGGUAGUUUGGACUGGGGCGGUCGCCUCCCAAAUAAUAACGGAGGCUUACAAAGGUUGGCUCAGAACGGUUGGAAAUCGUUCGUAGAGUAUAAAGGUAUAAGCCAGCUUAACUGCAAGACAUACAAGUCAAGCAGAGACGAAAGUCGGUCUUAGUGAUCGGGGG